rnacentral:rRNA from 1 species
GAUGAACGCUAGCUACAGGCUUAACACAUGCAAGUCGAGGGGUAACGAGAGGAAAGCUUGCUUUCCUUGUUGACGACCGGCGCACGGGUGAGUAACGCGUAUCCAACCUGCCCCCAACUAGGGAAUAACCUUGCGAAAGUAAGACUAAUACCCUAUAAUUUCCUCAGAUGUCAUCUGACGAGGAAUAAAGAUUUAUCGGUUGUGGAUGGGGAUGCGUCUGAUUAGCUUGUUGGCGGGGUAACGGCCCACCAAGGCAACAAUCAGUAGGGGUUCUGCGAGGGAGGUCCCCCACAUUGGAACUGAGACACGGUCCAAACUCCUACGGGAGGCAGCAGUGAGUAAUAUUGGUCAAUGGGCGGAAGCCUGAACCAGCCAAGUAGCGUGCAGGAUGACGGCCCUAUGGGUUGUAAACUGCUUUUAUACAGGAAUAAAGUUAGCCACGUGUGGUUAUUUGUAGGUACUGUAUGAAUAAGGACCGGCUAAUUCCGUGCCAGCCGCCGCCGUAA